UCGGCGAUGGGGAGUUGUUCCGGCGCUACCACCGCCGGUUGGAGUUGGGUGAGGUGCUGGGCUUUAUCGUCGGCC
rnacentral:tRNA from 1 species